ACUUAGCUGCAAUUUUCAUGCUGAUUUCUAACAAUUUGCAGAAUCUUGUUGAAUUUCUUCUUUCUUCACUGCGGUUUUUUUUUUUUUUUUUUUUUUUUCAGACAGAGUCUUGUUCUGUCUCCCGGGCUGGAGUGCAGUGGUGUGAUCUCGACUCACUGAAACCUCCACCUCCUGGGUUCAAGUGAUUCUCCUGCCUCCACCUUCCGAGUAGCUGAGAUUACAGCUGUCAGGACCUUGAGUGUCACCAAUCUGUUUGACAUUUCUUGAACUUCAGAGACCAGAAUGCAGAAUUCCUACCUCAUUUCAACCAGUGUGAAGACUCUUCCUGCUUUCCCUUCACCUUUUGCCAUGAAUGUAAAUUUCCUAAGUCCUCCCAGUCAUGCUUCCUGUUAAACCCGUGGAACGAGACAGUGUCUUGCCAUGUUGUCCAGGCUACCCUUGAAAUUCUGACAUCAAUUACUCUUCCCACCUUGGCCUCCCAAAGCACUGGGAUUACAGACAUUAGCCAUCAUGCCCCACCAUGCUGUUCAUCUGGAGAACAGAAGAGAGCAGAAGUAAAACUUGUCCCCCCUGAAACUCCUCAGAAUUGUCAGAUUUAGGUUUUUGAUUGAAGAAAAAAAAUGAAGAUGACCUUGGGAAUGGCAAUAACUGUUUAAAUAAAAGGCACAAUGCAUGAAAGAAAUAACUGAUA
rnacentral:lncRNA from 13 species